rnacentral:rRNA from 1 species
GACGAACGCUGGCGGCGUGCUUAACACAUGCAAGUCGAACGGAAAGGCCCUGCUUUUGUGGGGUGCUCGAGUGGCGAACGGGUGAGUAACACGUGAGUAACCUGCCCUUGACUUUGGGAUAACUUCAGGAAACUGGGGCUAAUACCGGAUAGGAGCUCCUGCUGCAUGGUGGGGGUUGGAAAGUUUCGGCGGUUGGGGAUGGACUCGCGGCUUAUCAGCCUGUUGGUGGGGUAGUGGCUUACCAAGGCUUUGACGGGUAGCCGGCCUGAGAGGGUGACCGGCCACAUUAGGACUGAGAUGCGGCCCAGACUACUACGGGAGGCAAGGGUGGAGAAUAUUGCACAAUGGGCGGAAGGCUGGUGCGGCAACGCCGCGUGCGGGAUGACGGCCUUCGGGUUGUAAACCGCUUUCGCCUGUGACGAAGCGUGAGUGACGGUAAUGGGUAAAGAAGCACCGGCUAACUACGUG